AGAGUCUAGUGCCAGCACAUACCCAGACUGUGUGAUCCCAUUUCUCGUUGGAAUGAACAUGGAAAACAACUAAGUUUCCAGAGAUGGCUUCAUCUUCUUGAUUCAUAUUUUGCCAUAUUUUAUGAAUUUCCAAUUUUUUUUAGACUUCAUAUAAUUGGCAUUUAAAUGAGAUUCCAGAUCUGAAACUCAUCCUCCUUGGACUGAACUGACCUCCGGAGGUUUUCCACAGCUUUGGACAAAUCACUCAGAGGACUCCAGUGGUCAUGAUUAAAUGUUGACAGAUGUGGGAAUGGAUGUCAGGGCUUAGCAUUUUCAGGAAAUACGAGGCUAUUUUCUAACAUGGCUGCACCUUGUACAGUAGAGUCCUGGCAGUGUCACCAGCACACAUAGCUCAAAGCCAGUAGCAUCACUGCCACCAACAAGGACCUAAAUGAGACUGUACAAUAGUUGUCUUCUUGAACUAUAUUUCACAUGCCAUUUCCUUCAAUUUUGUCUGCCUAUGGGAUUCCCUUGGAUUGCUGAAUAGUUAUUCACAUGUAUACACAUAUCACAUUUUGUUUAUCAGUCCUGGAAAUGAUUCUUAACUAUGACAUGAAAACCAUAGCAACAAAAGGAGAAGAAAGUGAAGCAACGCCAGAGCAAAAAUCCCCUGUGCGGUCAUCAAGCAAGCAAAGGUUCCCGUCUUGAAGGGUUGAAAAGUCAUCCUGGUGCAAGUAUAAAUUCUAUGAGCCCUAGAUGGAAAAGAAGCCACUAUGACCUGUCACCUGAAGAAGGAGGCAACAAGGCUUGAUUUGUUGCAUCUUACACUUGACAAUUGUAAGCACUGACAUCCAGGUUCAUCUCAGAAAUUUUCCAAACUAACACACGAUAGGUGAACAUUUCUUACAACUUGGAAUAAAUCCUUGUUUGCUGUC
rnacentral:lncRNA from 1 species